UAAAAUAUUUUAGCACAAAGAUUUUUUUCAAAACUUUUUUUUUUUAUCAAUAUGUCCCAUUUCUGUCCUAAAUCAAUUUAAUGUACCUUGACAAAAAAAAAGUGUUAGGUUAAGCCAAAGUCCACCUCCCACCUUUUCUAGAAGUGUCACCAGCCAAAGUCUUCAAUGGCUGAUUUGGUUGUCUAAAUGUAAUGACUGAAGGAGAAAAAACAAUUUGCAGCAUGGUUACUACUGAAUUCCUGUGUGACUUAUUCUCCUUGUAUCAAGUUUCCUAUUUAGGGGAAAAAUACAUGUUCCCCCCCUAUUUAUUUUUAUUUAACAGGAUCCUAAAAACAACCGGAUUGGACAGUGGCUAAAUGAAACAUCCGGUGGUAAAAUAUUGCAGCUUUCUUACUCUUUGAACUCUGAGGCCCAUGAAGGAACCUACCAAAUCAUUGUGUCAGAUAAAUACCGUCACAGCUUCAAGGUGGAGAAAUAUGUUCUGCCUAAAUUUGACGUAAAAAUAGAUGCAGCUGAUGUAGUGAGUAUUUUCCAGAAAGAAAUCAAAGCUGAAGUGUGUGCAAAGUAUACAUAUGGACAAUCUGUGCCAGGAAGUGUUAAAAUUGAGAUGUGCCGACCUCUUCAACAUUAUUUCAGCCUCAAUCUUGAAGAGGCACUUCGUGAAAUAACUAUACCAUGCUACAAGGAGACA